UACGUAGGGUGCGAGCGUUGCCCGGAAUUACUGGGCGUAAAGCGUGCGCAGGCGGUUUUGUAAGCCAGAUGUGAAAUCCCCGGGCUUAACCUGGGAAUGGCAUUUGGGACUGCAAGGCUCGAGUGCGGCAGAGGAGACUGGAAUUCCUGGUGUAGCAGUGAAAUGCGUAGAUAUCAGGAGGAACACCGAUGGCGAAGGCAGGUCUCUGGGCUGACACUGACGCUCAUGCACGAAAGCGUGGGGAGCAAACAGG
rnacentral:rRNA from 1 species